UACGUAGGGUGCGAGCGUUAAUCGGAAUUACUGGGCGUAAAGCGUGCGCAGGCGGUGAGCUGUGUCCGAUGUGAAAGCCCCGGGCUUAACCUGGGAAUGGCAUUUGGGACUGCAAGGCUUGAGUGCGGCAGAGGAGACUGGAAUUCCUGGUGUAGCAGUGAAAUGCGUAGAUAUCAGGAGGAACACCGAUGGCGAAGGCAGGUCUCUGGGCUGACACUGACGCUCAUGCACGAAAGCGUGGGGAGCAAACAGG
rnacentral:rRNA from 1 species